rnacentral:rRNA from 1 species
CGUGUAGGCGGAAUGGAAAGUACUUUGUGAAAGCCCUCGGCUCAACCGAGGAAUUGCUCGGUAUACUAUCAUUCUUGAGGCAGGUAGGGGCUGCUGGAACCUUAGGUGGAGCGGUGAAAUGCGUAGAUAUCUAAGGGAACGCCUGUGGCGAAAGCGGGCAGCUGGACCUGUACUGACGCUGAGACGCGAAAGCGUAGGUAGCGAACAGGAUUAGAUACCCUGGUAGUCC